rnacentral:siRNA from 1 species
AUAGGGCUUACUGGGCUUAGCCGA